CUGGUUGCGAGCCGGGAACAAGCUCACAAAGAGCACGCGCAUUUUUUGCGGUCCGGAGCUGUAGGAGAAACACAAAUCAACUCAGACACAGACUGAUGCGACAAAACCAUCUCAGAUCAACACAGCCCUGCCCUCCAGCACUAUCAGCAGCAGGAGCAGCAGCAACCCCUCAACAGCAACAUUGUACCCAUCAGACAUCCCUGGACCUGUCCCUGUUACCUGUCUGAAUCAUCUGAGAGCGACUGAGUGGCAACGUACAAGUGGAGCGGAAGUGUGAGUGACUGCAGAGGAGAGUGGAGCGAUUACAGAAGAGCAUCGUUUGUGUGUGUGGACUUUUCCCCCUAUAUUUUCCCCUCAGAGCCCUGGUACCCUGCACAUUGUAUGUAUUGCACUUGGUGAACUUUGUAAUUAAAGCUAACUAUCUUUUGAAAAGGAGCCUUGGUCUAUGCUUUUGUCUGUUUGACAUCCUGACAAUCUCAGGUUUUCUCUCAGGUUCAGGAAAAUCCCUCACUGCUUGUGAACAUUCUUCUCAUCACAUUGAGUUUAAAAGCAAAGUCCUGAUAAAUUAACUGUGGAUUCUAAUAGUUACAAUGUGUGGUGUUCUACUUUUUUGUUCUACUUUUCCAAAUGUUACUGUUUGUAAAUAAAUACACAAUAAAUAUUGUAGUCACUUCAAAAGAAAGAAAUCUCCAAUCAAAUAACCAAUGAAACAGCCAUUUUAAUGUGAGCACAAACAGAGACUGAAGCAAAAAGCCCGGCAUUUCAGACAAAGUUGAAAACUACUGUUGUGAUACUGUUAUCUUCAGUUGGGUUUUUAGGUUUUAUCAUGCUUGUUAACUGAAAAAGCUCUGAUUGUGUCAAACCUCCUUCCUACAGAGGUGGCAAAAGUACAGACAUUCUAUACUUACGUGGAAGUACAGACAUCUGUGUUAAAAAGUACUCCAGUAAAAGUUGAAGUACUAAAGCAACUUUGUUACUCAAAUGAGAAAGUAAAAGGUACCUCCUCAAAGAACGUUUCUACCAUCUAUUUUGGUGUAAAGCUAACUGAACCUUGUGCUAUAUUAAAGUAAUAAUGAAAUAAUAUUUGUCCAUGGGAAUACAA